AAAUAUGACUCACUCACAAGCAGCAUGGUUCUGUUGGAUUACCACGGUUACAAUGCAGAGUGCAGACCGACGUGCGGCAACACGGUAAGCUAAUGUAGCCUACAUACAUUGCAGGAGUGAAAGUUUUUGUACCGGCUGUAACCUGCUGUUUAUGUCUUCCCGGUACGACGUACCGAUGAAUUCCGGCUUACUUUCACCCCUGAGCUCAAGUCAAACUUCUUUUGCUGACUCUCCUCUUGUCUCUAGUCUAGACCUCCCUUGUAGUUUCUGUGCUGCUCAUCUCCCCUCUGGAUCUGUGACCGGUCAGCUAAGCCAUGAACUAAUAAACUAAAACUCUGUGCUCUUUUAAAGUAUCAAAAAUAUCCUAUGUUCACCCAUUAACCCCAGAAAACUAUCGCUAAAAUUAAUAACACCAUCGCUAUCGCUGGGAAACUUUUACCCGAAAUAAAAUACCCAAGAAAAAGUACUUGUCAUCAAAAUAUAUCAAGAUAGGACAAUACAUGACAAAUUUAAGUAGUUUUCUUUUAGUUUUAACUGUGCAAUGUCCGAAGGGAGGGAAAAAAGUGCCAUGAGGGGACCAUAUAAAAAUGCAACAAAAUAACAGAAAUUAGGCUUUCAUGAACAAAAAAUUAUUUAAAAAAGAAUAUAGGAACUGUAAACUUAGUUUCUUUUCCACCCUUCCACCCAUUCCUGGAGCAUAUGAGUCUUCCCUGGUGAAGACCCAGGGUCCUUGGCACAAUAACAGCUGCAGGAGAGAGAACCAAACUAUGGCAGAUUAGAGUGAGUAAAAAUGACCAGCUGACUAAAAUAUUUCUUAUCACCAUAUGAAUCCCCUUGAAAAUCACUGCUUUGUGAUAGUUAUUCAUAACCACUGCACUAAAUAAAGAUAGCAUGCAGAUUCAAGGACCACUCUUACUUAACCUUAUUCCCUACACGCAGCUAUCAAAUCCACCCAGACCUACUUACCCUCUAUCACUAUUGCCGGGUAAAAAUCACCUGAACACCUGCCUGAAGGAAAAAGCGGGUUUUGGAUCAGGGAAACAAAUAUGCCUUCAAAGAUGUCAAAGGUAAUGCUGAAGCUACCCAGGGACCCAUGAUACUCAGACAAACACAACAUAAUAAAAAUCAUGUAAACAUGUUUGGUCGGGUGAAAAUCAGUGUUCGAGGGUUAAGUGCGCUAACAUUUUCUGCCCCCUGUGUUAAGAGGCAGAGGUGAAUUGUGCCGGACUCCUUUCCACAGAUUGAUUUAAUUUGACUCAGGAAUCAAACCGGAAGUGUUACUUUACAUUACAUUAAAAGCAGACCAAUGAAUUAAAUCUGUAUUCUGUGUAAAACUGUCUUAAUAUAUUUUUGGCUUUAUACUUUUUUCUUGGCUGACAUGACAGAGAACCAGCUGUUAAAUUUCUCUCUGUGUUACAAAAAGGUCACCUCAGUGAAUUCUGCAGGAUAGCUGUUUAUGACUCAGACAUUUCCCUGAUCAUUUCCACAGUCUCCCACCCACUCGUUCUGUUUUUAAGGGUUCCUUUUAGUUAAGAGAGCAGGUGAGCCACUCAGCACUUAAACCUCUGUUUCGACAUAUAUCACACUGCUUUAUGUUCACUGUGAGUAUACAUUCAGACACAGGGGAAGCAAGGACAGUGUCUUCAUGGUGUGUGGCUCAGGGGCAUGACUGAUUUAUGUUGGCAGCGAGCCGCCUGCUCUUCUCACUCAGAGUUCCAUCAGGACCUUCUCCUGACAGCCGCCCGCUGAGAUGUGUGUGCGUGUAAGGAGGUCUGGGAGAUUAAAACACACAUGCUGAUCUUUUCAUCCCAGAGUCACCUUUCCAUUAACUCAACAUAUUCUCCAUCUCACUUGUUUUCUUUCCAACCUUUAACUUUUACUCCUGUAUAGAGACGUCUUUUCAAACCAAAUUAAGAUAGAACAAAAGAGGCUUGGUUUAGAGGUCUGCUGUACUCUGAAGCUUCACCAGGUCAGAAACCAGGAGGUCUCUUAAUUUGCUGGCAAGCGGGUGCAGAAAAUGGGAAUUCAUUUGGUGUAAAAAAAUCAAAAAAGGAGUCCAUAAGAUCAGAAAGUCAAUUCCAACUUAAAGCCUAGCCUAGUGAUUGAGACUUAAGAUGGAAACGCAUCAGUUUGUAGCCCCGAACAACCCUAAGGCAUUAUGGGACGGAGGGGGACAUAGUGAAGAGAUUAAGAGAAAUACAUUUUUUUGUAUUAUCCUCAGAGAACUUUAUCUGAAUGUGAUGUGCUAAGCAGUAGUGAACUGAAUUCCUGGUAAGCUUGUCAUAUCUUCUUCUGGGGAACGUGGGACCUCCUGUCUGGUGAAUAUGCAGUGUGUGUCUAUCUACAGUGUGUGUAUGUGUGCAUGUGUGUGUGUGUGUGUGAAGCUACAAGGACAGCCGAUGGAAAUGAGCUGCUGUUAUCUCACAGGUCGUAGCCCUGAUCACAGUCUAUCUGACCGCAGCCUUAUCUUAAAACACACCGUAGUUCAGUUAAGCUUUUCUGUGCGUGUGAGUGUGUGUGUGUGAGAGUGAGGAUGAGGAUGAGAGCCUUUGCAAGAGAUCUAGGACAGGUAACUCCUUAUUUCGCCGAAUUUGGACUUCUUCAUCUGUGGAAAUGUAUCUAUUUUCAAUAUUCCCAAAAAUAGGUGAUAUUUAUUUCUCCACAAAAAGCUGUAUAUUAUAAGCACAAACAUGGACUAUAGGUGUGAAAGCUUUUUCUAAUUAUACAGAAAGUAUAUGUGGAUAAUUUCAACACUAAUGUAUUAGAUAGUCCUUGAGAUGAAUCUGUCAUAGCUGAGGAAUAGCUCAUAAUUUAUGUCCUAAUUUGACUCCUACAUCAUGAACAUGUGAAUAAGUAUGCAUAAACGAUGUGAAAUCAGCUGAAAUAAACCACUUCAUGUUGAGUACAGAUGCUUUAAUUCCCCAUUAGUCCAUGCAGGCUCAUUAUGUUUGUGUAAAUCUAAUGUAAUGCUGGUUGAGUCCCAGGGCAAUUAACUUUUUUGCAUUGCUGAUAAAGAGCGCGCCUCUCUGGGUAAUAAAGGUUAAAAUAUGCACAGAAAAUUGAUAGUAAAUAUGCAGUUCUCCUUCACCGCAAAGGACCUGGAUUUGGAGUGUCUCUAAGUGCAUGUGAAAAGAUUCCCUUUAUGUUUUUAGUGAUGUGUUUAACACUUGAGAAUUAUAAUGCAGCGCUAAAAAAAUCAUGUGUCAAAUAACUGCUGGCAAUUUCUGAGAUAUCUAUAUAUAACAGUAAUGUUUAAGCCAGUACACGUUUAUAGUGUUUGGCAAGAUUGUUAAUUUUAGUAGAAAGAUAUUUAAAUGCAUUUUAAGUUAAAAUUAAGUUGAUCUAUGGAUUAUGAACUUUGCAGCAGCACACUGAGUUCGACAACGUUGAUCAAGCUCCCCAUGAUUUUGAACAUCCCUCUAUGACUUUAAAUUAAUGAUGAGUGCCCAGUCUUAAACAUUGAAUCUUAACUCCAGUGAACAAAAAGUCUAAUUUAAAAUAUCCAUAUUUUUAAGUCUUUUUUUCCCCCUGAAAUGUUUACAGAAAGUAAUAUUUUUGUCACACUCUCACCUGUAAAGGGGGGAAUGCCCCAUACCCCCUUCCAUAUUUUGAUUUGACUUGUGUGUGGAAUAAGGUUCUCUAUGGCAAUGAUGUGCUCUCCAUGGCAAUGGUCGUUAUCGAGAAAUAACAGACUGUUGUUAUCGAGUACUGACUGAUCAGAACCAAGCGUUUAACAUAGCUGUGUAACAAGUUAUGAAACAUUUUUGUAGCUUUUUAUGCUUGAUCAUGUUAAAAGCCACUUAAAAAAAGGAAACGCUGUAAUGUUCAAAUGUAAACAAAAUCCAUAUUUAUUUCUAAUUCAUUCUCUUCCAACUUAUUAGAAAAACUUCUGGUUCCUUUUCUACAUUAAGAAAAUCUGAUUAUCUACAUCAGGCUCAGGAGAGCUGAUUCAGAUGGUAUCGUUCUGCUUAUAUAUUUACAGGUUCUUUGUCACAGAUGAGGAGCAGUUUUGUGUGCUACUCCUCAGUACAUGAAAAGUUAAAAGUAAGGUUAGAUGGCUGCUGAAAAGGUUGUAAAUCACUUACUUACAUAAUAAGAUCAUUUGUAACAGGGAAGGAAGAACUACAAAUAAUAUGCAACAUUCCCUGGUGUGAUGAAUUGUUGACACUUUAGAUUAGGGGGCUGCAGAUGCAUUUUUAAAUGACUUAUAAAUGAUUCAGUAAUACAUAUCAGUUAUAAAAGGUGAAGAAAAGGCCUCAUUAAUUAUACAAUAAAGGUAAACCUAAACAAAGGUAUACAUUUACUAAUGAUUAGUACAUAAAUAUUUCACAAUUAAGUAAUCAUUUGUGGCUAACUAACAACAUGUUUGUGAUAUUAGCAUUUAUUAAUUCCAAUAUCUUGCAUUCACUUCGUAUGGCUCACAUGUCAUUCAUAAUACAUCAACAAAUCAUUCCGUAAUCAUUUACUAAUAAUUUGUUCUGAAAUAUUUUAUAGUCUACAAAUCAUUUACAAAUGACUUACAAAAUAUUUGUGAUUUUUAACAAUUAAUCAUUUACAAAUGUUUGUUGAUGUUUUGUUCAUUAUUUGUUCACCAUUAGGUAAUGACAUACUAAUGAUCGUUAUUAUAAAGUGUUACCAACACAUUUUAAUCUUUUCAAGGCUGCAAAUGUGAAACUCUAAACAUCAGCUGCUUGGUAGUCUAACAGAACGUAUGACUUUUUUAUAGUGCACAUUUUUUUCUCUCCCAAACGGCUCGAACAAAUAUCUAAGCAUAAAAAGUCCUGGAGAGAGUCAGAUCCAAGGCUUGUGAAACAAAACGGAUUCAGCAAACAGCAACCCAUCAACCGCUUUAUCUACAUGUUUGUGCUUUGAUGUGCAAAAGUAUUCUUGAUAAAUCCACAAUAUGCAUCCACUUGUGGGGAGGAGAAGCUCAGCAAGGACUGUGUUCAUCUUUAUCUCUGCUGGUCUCACAGAGCAGUUUGAUCGACGGUUUGACUGCCUGUUUCUGCUCAAGGAUUUCACUGUGUUAUCAAGGACACUUCACUCUCACAUGGGUAUUUAUAGGCUCUGUUUUCUGCGUGUGUGUGUGUGUGUGUGUGUGUGUGUGUGUGUGUGUGUGUGUGUGUGUGUGUGUAUGAAUGAAAGUAGGAUCUCAGUUAUUCCAGUUAAAAGGAGCCUCUAGAGACAUCGAUGCAGGUAUUCUGCUGCACACUGCGCACUUUCAUGUUACAUGUUCCUAGCAGGGAGCCGUAGGUGCAGAUUUCUUGCUCUAACUCCCUUAACUUUCCCUUUCUUUCUUUUCUUCCUCCCUCUCUUCUUACCACCGUCUACUCUUUGCAUAAAUUACCCCAUUCCCUCUUCUCUCUUUUUCAGUAUGCCCCCGUCCACCUAUAGUGUCUGUUGUUUUUCAUGCUGUUUCCUCUAGCAUUAUCAUUUCUCUGAGCUGCUGAUCGAUUUCUUCCUAUACUGCACUGCCUCUCAUCUUCUGCUGUCUUUAUUUCCCCCUUCCCACCGUCGGUUGAAUAAACCCUUCCUGAUGCCCCCUCUCUCCCCCUUCAGGAAUAGAUUCAGCCUGAGGGCAUUUAUGUAUGUUCUUGUCGGCUGCCAGAGGCCAUGCUGACACCAAGGCCAGCAUGCAGGGCGCACGCUAUAACCCUGUAAAGCAUGCUCACUCUUCAGAUAGGCAGUGGGGUCUGUUUGGGCCCUUCCACCUAUCAUCUGAGACUAAAAAAAUCGAAAUAUAAACAUUGUUAUUUCCUUGGACAUAGUUCCGACUAGUCAAUGUUGAUUAUUUAUACUUCAUUUGAUAGGCAGGGUUAAAUGUAUGCAGCCUGCACCAUGUCCAGUUUGGCUUUUUUAUUUACAACGUAAUGCAAAUGUAUGUAUAUAAUAUACAUCUCUCUCAGUAUCUUAUAUUCACCAUGCCUACCCUACAGGUAUGGGAAAUAAAAUAAACACAUACUGACUCACUUUGAGCUCAGACAGUUUCCUCUAUUGCGCAAACAUCACAGAAAAAGCUUGUCUUGUUUAUCAGCGUCAGGUGUCAUUGGACCGUUCUGAUUAGAAUACAGUUGUUCUAAACAAUAAAAUACAGUUGUUUAUUUGUAACUGAGGAUUUGAAUUUAAUCGAUUUUCAGCACAUACCUUUUUUUAACCAUGACUGUGAUCCAUUCAAGCACAAACUACACAUUCUUAUAAUGUUUUGAGUUUCCCCCAUAGAUGAAUAAACUCAUUAAAAAUCACCCCCAGACUUGUUUUAAGAUGUACUAUAGAUGCUUUGAAUUCACUUAGAUCUGAAAUAUCUGAUUUCUUCAAAAAUUGCAUUUACUACUCUAUCAUUGAAAACAAACAUGAAAAAAAAAAGAUUGAUGGAUACCCAAAUGGUUUUUAUUUCAGAAUUUUAGCUGCCAGAAAAAGGAGAGAUGUGUCCACGUCAUACUUGAGUCUCGUUUUGCACAUUCAUCUUAACAGUGAAGGUAUAUCCAGUUGAGCAAAAAAACAUGUUUCCAAGCAGUAACAGAAUUUUUCAGUUUCAGUGUGCACAUUGAAAGCAUUCUUAAUCGAUAUAAUACCGAGAGUAUUUGUAUAAGUUCUAGUCAAGGUAUCUCAUUACACUUGAUUUGAGAUUAUUUUUGUAGAUGUUAAACCUGUUUAAAUUAUUACAGGCCACAAACAAGAACUUUGUGACUGUAAAAGAUUCUUCAAACUUUAAGGGCAGCUCUCGGUCUCUCUCAGUUGAAAAGUGGGGAGUUUGACCCCAGGUAUACAUGCCAAAGUGUCCUUGGGCAAGGCACUUGACUCCGUGAUCCCUCCCGAUGGCUGCGCCCCAUGGUGUGUGAAUGGAAUUAGUUAAUACUAAUGGGUGCUUUAUAUAGCGGCCUCUGCCUUGAGUGUCUGAAUGUUGGAUGAAUGAGUGAAUGUGGCAUGUAAGAAAAGACAGAAAAAGUGCUAUAAGUACAGUUCAAUUUAAAUACGUGUUUCAAGUAAAUAACACUUGUCCAGUAAAUGCAGUUUAUUUCCAAGCCUCUGCUAUGAGUCAAGCUCGUUAUGAAAUGGACUGAACAUUAUAUUGAUGCUUUAUUAUGAGAACGACCCUCAGCAUAAAGGUUUACCAUUUCCAUAGUUUUAAUUUUAAUGUCUGAAAGCCUCGGGGUGGGUAUCAGUCAAAGUGAGUUGCAGAAAACUACCUUUUUGUGAAAUUUCUAUUGCAAAGAUUCUGAAUGAGCGAUACAUUAACUCCUAAAAACAGGACGUGCUUUUCUUCUGUUAAAGAACACUACUUACAUAUGCAUUAGACUCAAAGUGAAAGUUCCUCACAGGUGCUGAAUGAGAGUAAUGAGACAUUCUGACCAGUAAUGGUUUGAGUUCUUGUAGUGAAUGAGUCAGUCCAGCAACAAUCAAAUAGUCUCCAAAGCCCAAGAAUGUUGGUCUCUGUAAUGUUUGCAGCAAACAGGAAGUACCGUGACUAAAUGUUAGAGCUGCAGACCCCCGUGAGGUGGUUGGGAUGAAUUGACAGGUCAUGAAAACCUUUAACAAAACUAUCCACCAUUUGGUUGUCAGUGUGAUUACUAUACACAAUAAAGCAAAUAUGUACUUGGUGUUUUAUUACUGUAACUACAACAAACCUUCCUUGGCAAACUUUAAUGUUUCUCCAACCAAGCUCUUGUUUUACAUCCGAAAAGAGCUUUAUUUGUUGUUUUGGAACAGCAGCAAGUUUUAUUGUUUAAUUUGAAUCACAUGUUGGGCUUCGUACCUGCAAAAUCCCUCACAGUUGCAUAGUUAGUACAAAAAUACAACAGUUUCCUUCAUCCUUCCUCCCAAAACUCCUGACUAUAUUGGUGCACAGAGGAUUUGAUAGUAUGUUUAUAGAGGAUAGACCAAGAAUUGGUUGCACUUAUGUUGUCGAGGAUGAGAUGAAUGGUAAUCUCAGUUUCAGUAAGAGAAACAAGAAAAAACCAGGAUGGGAGAAAUGUGCGUGAAUAACAGGCAUUACUCAAAACACAGUGUAAUAUUUUGGUCCUUUGUGGCUGCUGCCGACAGAUAAAUUGGUGUCUCUGGGCUCAGUUUUAUGGAGUCAAUGGUGCAGAGUGUGGCAGCUGACUUUUGGAUAUUUUAUUGCUGAAGGCUUGUAACACAGCUGAAGUGCGUUUGGAAACAAGGCGUGAUUUGAAAACUAUAUUAUAAGGACAGGAUAGAGGCUCGCGUCAGUCAUCAUCAAUCAAAUUAGCUUUUUUUUGUCCCUCCUGAAGAAUUUGUAUGCGCUUCAUGGAGAUCAGUCUGUGAUAUGGAUUCACUGCUGAAACGCCUUUCAUGAGGAAACUGAAGUGCGAGUGUGGGAGGUGCAGAAUAAAUGUGAGCCAAUUUGAAUCUAACUAGUUUGGAUGGUACACUAAUGUGUUGUUGUGGGAAAACUGUAAUCCAAUUUGAAAAAACUGUUUGAUUUCAUUAGUUGAAACCAUAGAUUGUAUAUUAAAAUGUGCACUUAAAGUGUUUGCUGAGUGUGGUGCCAUAAGACUUACCCCCAAUUUCCACCACAUCCGGAAAGACUCCCAUCCGGAGCGGCUGUGAUUUUCAACGUCCGCCAAUUUCCACUGGAUCCAUUUGUGAGGUGAAUUUCGUGGCGGAUUACAGACAUCGCAAGAACUCGAAGAACCCGCGGAUGCACGUGCAAUCACGCAAUAAUGAGUUGUCUCUAUAAAGCCAGCCACAUAACCAUAAAAACAGUAGAUUGUGUCCUUCCAGAGGAGGAAACCCACCUCUAGACUUCUAAAAUCAGCAUCUCUUGUUCGUUCCCACCUGUUUGCAUGGUGUGAAAUACGAUCUGCCUGAAACACGUAGUGUUUUAUUUUGAAAAGAAGCCAGAUAUUUUAUUUUGUAUAUGUGCCUGACCUCCUUUCCAGCACAGACUAAUCCGUGCUGAAUUUAUGCAGCAUGCUCCGGUGUCUGAAAAAAAAUAGUAUUAUUGCGAUUAGCUGCAGAGUCUGCCGAUCCGCAACGGAACGGAAAGAAGCCGGUGGAAAUUGAUCGAUACGGCCUUUCUGCAGCCAUUCCAGAUGUGGUGGAAAUUGGGGGUUAGAGCGCCCUCCUACUGACCAGUUGAAGUACACAUUAUAAAAUCCCACCUUCUUUAUGUUAUAACAGAUGGGACUGAGGUCAAACCAGAAAAUUAAAAUAACGUUGAAUAAAUUGAGUCAUGUCUGUUCCUAAUGCAGUGCAACAUGGGGGCCAUCUUGUGUUGGUCUUCCACUAUCAGUUUCAACAUGUGAUAUGUGGUCUGCAUUCAUUUCUAUUAAAUAUAGGGUUUUAUGAUUUGCAAACACAUUAGACUAGAAGAUUAAGUACAAUAUGUUGAAGAGCUUUGAAAAACAUGCAUUGGAGGUGUAUGCUUUUUGAAAAUGUGUCCCCAAACUAAUCACCCUUCUGUAUGUUCAUGCAUUUGUAGAAUUAUAUAUACAUAAACGCGUAUAAGCUAAAAUAAAUUAAAGUGACAGAACCAAACUGCAGUCUGCACUAAAGCAUUCCUUGGAUUUGUGGUGAGGGGGAGGCAUAAGCGCAUAUACAUGUAAUGAAUGGUCUUUCUACUGUACUAACUGUCAUGGUUGUUACUAUCUGGGCUGUUCACCCUCCUCCACCCUCUAUAGCUGAAGCCAGGUUCACAGUAACUGAAUAGCAGUGGGUUGGAAAACCUGUAAUCAGCUUGACUGGUACAAAAAAAAAAAAGUGCAUUCUUACGUCUUGUUCUGUCGAUGUUCCUCUCUGAAAAUUUCAUACAUUUAGCAUCAUGUCGACCAGAAAGUCUGCAGUGGCGCUGACUUGACCUAAAAGAAAACUACACCUCAGCUCUGCAGCGUGACAAAUGUGGACAUCUUUCUGAGGCAACAUCCCACUAUAUAUCAAACAGCUUGAUAGGAAUAGUGAGGGCCAUAGUUUUUACAAUAUCAAACAGUAUACUAGACAUCCAGGUCAGAGCCGGGGGAUAUAUCUGCUAGCAGCAAAUAGAAAAUUGUAGAGUCUUAAAAACACUCAAAGAAAUUUGUGAACAAGACUAAGGUCACGACCAACUUUAAGAAUUUACUGUCUGACUGGAUAAGUCACACAUCAUCAUUUCACACUUGAAAAAUCAGUCGUAUCUCCUGAUGCCAGUGACUCAUCUGUGCUGUUGGGGCAUUCAGUGGUCAGUGAAUUCACAGCACCCGUGUACCCGCGGGACGAAGGAUGCUCCACAUUUGACUGACCCUUCCAUAUUACACCAAACAAAGCAAUGCAGUGCAAUGCAUACAACAUCAUAUGAUACUGUCCACUCUAUCGAUCCCUUGGGGAAAUUUGUCCUGGAUUUAAGUGCUGCAUAUGCUCAAGUGCUUUUACACUAGUAUGAUGUAUGAACUGUAAAAACAACAACGGUCUAUCAAGUGGGGUGAGCUGUGGAGAGUUCGGAUUCUCACUGUCCCAAUUUCAAAACCCAAAGGUCUCCCUCUUCUGGGAUGUGCAGUGUUUUGUUGAACCUUGAUCCCUGUUCUCUCAGUUUGAUUCAGGGGAAAUAUAACAGGUGUUUUUGAGGGGAUAAUGAGGAUUAUUCCCUGAACACCUUUGACAGCCAGGGGCCAAAAAGCACAUUAGAACAGUUGUGGUAGUAAAGUGGUGGGACUCGAUGGGAUGUUUGGAGCCAAAGUGCCCACUGCACAACGUGGAUUAAUAGAUUUAAAUAGUCAGUCUAGUUUUGAACUUGAUUUUAAGUAUAUAAUUUAACCCUUUAUAGAUAUAGUAUCAUAGUUUAUGAUGAAAAAAACACUGCUUUGUCCAGGCGUUUUAAAGCCCUUGCGUACUCUUCUUGUUUUUUUGGUUUUUUUUAAUCUCUUUGUUGUCCAGAUAAAUUACAUCCUACUCAAAAGCAGAUGCAGUACACAGGAAUUUGUUAUUGAAAUGAUGUAUUUCCAGUAGGAACGAGGGGGAAAACAGUUUUCAAAAUAAGUAAGAUGUCAGAAAUAUCUUCCUUAUUGCAUUCAAAAUAAAAGUUUAUUCUUUAUUCAAUACAUUGACGGGGUUUUUUUUUUGGCAUAACUUUUCACCUAUUUCCAAGAGAGAGAGAAAUUGAAAUUCCUCUCACUCUUUCUUAACCUCCCCUGGUGUUCUUCACCCUCGCACACAAGUGGCUGAACAUGCUCCAGCUGUUGUGACCUGCUGCUUGACGCACAAGCUUCACCGCAUCUCAUCAAUACUGGCUUUAUGUGUAUGUAUCUGACACUUUGCCCACUAGCUUUUUGUCAGAUUCUCCAGGCUGCCUGCGCUGCAUUUGACCACCCACACACCCACCUACCCACCUUUUUUUCCUGAGUGUACUGGAUGUUUUCACUGUCUUUAGUUAUUCAUUUUCCUAGAGCACUCAGUUUACAACCAGGUAUCUGAAUUUGAGUCCCACAGCUCAUAAAUGUCCUAACUUCACCUCUUACCUUAAACAACCAGGCUGGAUGUUGAUAUAAAGAAAUAUAUCAAAGCGCUAUUUACUUUUGGUGUGAUUCUUUUUUGCAUGUGCUGUAACCGAUAGGUGUGUCAGUGUUUUUGUUCAUUCCACCUGAUGCUUGUGCGGUGCACCCAGCACUCAGUAUGAGCAGCGAGAUAACCGUCCUAAGCCUCUAUCAUCAUAACCUGCUAUCUGAUGGCAGAGCGAUGACUGCGAUAACUCUCCCUUGUUUGCUUUGCUUAUCUAAAGGAUUAAACACACCCACUGGGAUGGCUCUUUUCUAUUAGCAGGUAGAGAGGGGUGGGCCGCAUGAAUAGCAAUACUUUCUAUCUCCACAUUGGGAGUGUUUUCUCCAGAAGGCCAUGUGUACUGUAGGCAGAAAUGUUUUGGCAUUUUUACAUUUUAGAUAUAUUUCCUGUUCUUAACUGCCUUUUCAUGCUUACUUUUCGUCUUUUAUUGAAACUGAUUAUUUUGCUCUUUUUAGUUCAGUUUGUUUAUCAGGGAAAGGAAGCAACAUAAGAAGCAGUUUUUUGUCGGAGGAAAGGUUGUUUAUUCCAAAAAAAUAUAAAUGAUGUGAUGAUACAAAAAUAAGGCAAGGACAACUGAAAGGAUCUGAAAGCACUGCACAAAUGAAAGAGAUAAAUGCUUGUAUGUACUCAAUAUAUGUGAUACGGUUGGUAUUGAGAGUUACAAGCUGCACAAUUUAUCCAAUUGAAGAAAUUACCUUUGUUUAUCAAUGGAAUUAUAAAAAAGAGCAUCUUGUAACCAUAAAAACUAUGACUAACAGAGAGAGAAAGAGAAGGAGAGGGAGACACUGAGUUAUACAGUUGAUCACUCUGAGCUGAAGGUGACUCUGUCUUUCUUUACAAGUUCGACAGCACUAGUUCUCCACAUAUCAGACACAAAAUAGUACUCUGCCAGCAGCCUUUGUGACACUUUUCCCACUGGCAUCAGUCUGAUAAACUACUUUGCUUGCAGAUGAUAGCUCUAACUUGAAGCACUUAAAGAUCAUUUAAUCCCAUUUGGCACAAAGUGAAUAUUACUUUAGACCUGUCAACACAGCAGUCUGGGUUUUUUAAAGUGGUAUUGUUAUUUUCUGUUACGGCGGCAGCAGGAUGUAGACUGUACUGCUUAACUACAGCACACGGAAAUUUGCUUCUUCUACUACCUAUUCUUGUUUUUGAUUCGGUGGCAACCAGCAAUAAGGUGUGGUACUGCCCCCGGUUGUGAACGGUUGACCAGAGCAAACAGCAACAGACUAAAGUAGCAGGUCUGUGCAAUGAAAAAGUUAAGUAAGCAAGUAAGUAAAGUUUAUUUAUAGAGCUCUUUUCACAGAUAAAAACACAAAGCGCUGUACAUAAAAUAAGUGCAAUUAGAUAAACAUAAAAUAAAAAAAAGAUAAGUACAUAUACACAAAUACAAAUACAGUACAGUGAAUAUGGAAAUAAGUGCAGAUAUAAAAGAUAAUUAAGAGAGACAAACAAAACCCUGUAAAUUAAAGGCUUGUCUGAAUAAAAGAGUCUUCAACUGAUUUUUAAAAGUAUCCACUGAGUCGAUCAAACGGAGGGAGAGGGGCAAAUCUCUCCAGAGUCUGGGGGCUACCGUCUUAGAGCCCGGUCCCCCUGGGUUUUAAAACGGGUCUUCAGCGCCAUUAGGGUGUUCUGGCCUGACGACCAAAGGGUGCGUGGGGAGUAGGGGCACAACAAAUCAAUGAUAUAUUGGGGGGCCUGACCAUGCAGCGCCCGGAAAGUCAGAACAUAAAUUCUGAUUUUUAGUUCAGAUUUUUAGUUCUGAUUAAGAUAUGAUUUCAAAUGACGAAGCGUUACUUACAGACUUUAAUGGCAUUGCAAGUAAUGAGGUAACAGCCAGCCAUUAAAAAAUCAUUUGACUAAAUCAUUGGCUAACAUCAGAACAGAGCAGUAUUUUUACUCAACCUCUUUUUUCAUGACAGUAAUAUUCAAAAGGUGCAGGUAUGAUCUGAAAGUGAAACUUUUGCACGAGUUUUACAUCACCAGACCUCGCCAAUAAUACAAUUUUAAAGCUUCUGUGGGUUGUUUUUUUGUCCUUUAUGAACAACUGUAAUUCAUAUCAAUGCCUCCUUUUUAUAUAUUCAACAGCAAACAAAACCAUCAGCAACAAAACUGGCAGAUUUUUUUUUUUUUUACCCGUAUCUGUGAUGCCUGAAAUCAGCGUGAGGGGGUAGGUGUCAGCGAGGCAGCUGUAGAAACAGCCUGUUUUUACAAUUUAUGCAUAAAAUAUUCACAAUCAAUGUCACAUUUCACUGCCAAAUGUCAGCAAACUGAGAUUUUUUUUCUUUAAGAAUCAGCUGUCUUCAUUCUUUACAUCUAUUUUUUAUAAUUUUUCAGACAACUCUGUAUACUAAUGUUUUUUUUUUUUUCUUUUAUUCCAUAGAGCAUUCAGCUUCGUCAGGCAAGAGCUGAACAUAAAAGAGAGGCAGUGCUUAUUGUACACACAGUUUACGGAUAAUUCUCAUUAUGCUAGCAUGUGUUUCGUAAUGAUUUGUUUCAGAAUUGCAUUAUCCUGCAAUGGAAUCAGAGACAGCAGAUGUGCUGAUGCUUCUGUCUGCUUCUCUUCUCGCCCCCUCUCUUUGUUUCCAGCUGAGAGCUAAGUGGAGAUGCAGCUAAUUACCCAGUUUACACCACAAAUGUAAUUACACCCCUAUGGGAAGUUACACAUUGAGUGUGCAGUACAUACUGAAUGUGAGGAGAUUGAGGAGGAGGAUUUGUGUGUGCAUGGGGGGGCAUGUUGAACACAGGUACAAAGGGAAGUGUUACCGCAAAGGUCUUAGAGAUUACAUGUUCAGAUUUAGGCACACUUAAGAAGCCAAAAGUCUUUAAACACAACAGUUCUGAUAGGAUUAGAGGGAAAAUGCGAUGAUGUAUUGAAAAGAAUUAGAAGUCAUGUAACAUGCCCUGUUGAUGAGCUAUCUAUGUCAUGUAUAGAUAGAGCAAGAAAUGGCCAAAAGUAAUUCAAUAAAGUAAGUUCAAAAUUCUUUAUUGGCAUUAGCAGUCAAUGAUGCAAUUGCCAAGGCAGUUUACUAAACAAAUACUAUAUUUAUGUCACAAAUCUCGAUUGAAAAUGUAUUUAUUUAAGCUGGCUUUUAAUACACAGUAGCACAGUGACACUUUAUUUUAUUGCAUUGUAUCUUAUUCUUUUUUCAUUGCUAUUAUUGUUUUUAUUUAAUCAUUUUAAUUUACUAUGCAUUGUAAAGCACUCUGGGUCCCCGAAAGGGUUGUUCUGAAGGGCUGUAUAAAUAAAGAAAAAAUUUUGAUUUACAUUUAAUUUUACAAAUGGUAUAUUGCAAUACAAGUAUAACUCAUUUUCUAAUAGGUUAAGUUGAUAAUACUAGUAUUCAAUUUAAAACUUUGAAAAACACGACUUUGACUUUAAUUAUAUAAAAAAGAAGGAUUCGUUUAAUUUUAGUUCUUGGUUAAACUUUUUAAAAAGAUUACUAAUUAUUUUUCCAAUUUCAUGUCCCUGAUUAUUUGGUUUAGAGAUGAUUCAGAUUUUUUUGAGGUAUCAUUAAUUCUUUUUUCUUUUUUCUACUGAUUUACAAGCAGAAACAUACCUCUAAAUCUUAACUUUUUUCUGCAGUCUGCUCUUAUUUUGUGUCUCAUUUUAAAUUGGAGUGGUCAGCAUCUUAGCUUUUUGCCGUGCAGAGCUGCUAUGUGCACUCUCAUUCAUUUAAAGGUGGAAUUGUUACCUCCACCUUUUAGUAUGUUGUAUUUUCACCCCCCCCCCCCCCCCCCGUGUAUGAAAUUUGAUUUAUAAGCAUAAAAUUGGCCCAUCUUACCUCAAUUUGAUACAGUAUGGCUCAGUGAAAUACCCACAAACACUACCGCACACAGAGAUACUGAUCAGUUCAGUGCGCAUUUAACUUCUUGCAUGUGCUUUGUGAAUUACACUGCCUUUUGAGUCAUUUUGUGUAGUUUGCUAAGGAUUUGCAACCACAGAAACAUGCAAUCCUUCUGUGCACUAGGUCCUCUGAUCUUAUUUUCUCAGCUCUGACUGAUCUCUUUUGGGAGAGCGACUUACGCCAAGAGAGAUGUGGGGAUGUGAGUGACAUUGAGACAAAGAAAGCUCAGGGCUUCUUCAGUCAAGUAGCUUUAAAGACAUGCAGGCCAUCAAACAAUUACAAGUCAACACUUAAAGAGACAGCUGCUUCAAUCUUAAAGGGAUAUUCCGGCGUAAAAUUAAUUUAGGGUCAAACACACCGUAACACUAAGUUAGACACCCCAUCAAGAGAUGAAUGUUGCCGACCGCUUGUUUCUCUAGUUUUACCAACUUUUGUAACAACCGCACGAUAGCAAUACACAGCGGUCUGAGGAGCCAUAAACAAACCUCAACCAAAACGCCACUCUAUAGCCACAAAUAAUGCUCAGAACAGCUCCUAACUUCAUCAACAGUACAUAUAGGGUCCCAGCCACAGCACUAGCCACCAAACAUCUUUUAACUUUGCCUAAUUUCUUUAGCAAAGAGUCUAAACACAACUCACCCACUCCCUUCCAGCAGCCGCUUGUUUGUAGCGAGACCUCGGGCCAGUCCAUUAUGGACUACAGCGGGGUGACGCAGCUCAAGGAAGAACAUUUAUGAUCAUUUCUUUAUCAUUUCCUUGAAGUAAUAAUCACCAUAUGAAUUGUUUUGUACUGCAGACACUGUAGUUCUUCUGCCUUUGCGUCUCGGUCUGAUUGCAUUUCCAUGAAGAAAUGAUCAUAAAUGUUCUUCCUAGACCCUAAAUUAAUUUUUCGCUGGAAUAUCCCUUUAACAUGCAUCUUAUACACUGAAUUUUAGGUAUGAACAGCAUCUACCUAAGUAUAAGAGCUUUGUAGACAAGACAGUGUUAGGUUACGGGGUACUGUUUUGUUUGUUUUGGUUUUUUUUAAUUGACAUUUUUUUUGGCCACAAACUGCCUCCACAGUAUCCGACCUUGAAUAAUACCUGACAGCUUGAGUCUCAUAAAUCUCCCCGCCCCAGCGGGACAUGGCUAAUCACUGGAGCACUAAGUGUCUGAUGCUCUGUCUUUUAGCCCACCAGUGCAGGAGGUGGGGAGCAACAAUACUGCAGACCACAUUCCUAAACACAAAACCUCAGGAGGUGCAGAUUGCUGAAAAUUCUGCAAUCUUUUAUUAAAUUAGAUUUAAAAGAAAAAUGGAGAAGCUUUUAUUAAAUGGGGGAUUGGAGAGUAGAGGCUGUCAGAGUGCAGUUAAUGUGUAAAAAUGAUCUUUUCUUCUCUGUGCCACUACAUCAAGCUGCUCACAGACACGCUUUGUUGUGUUUAGCAUGUGGGCUCACAUUUAUAACACAUUCACACACACGCACAAAUUCAUUCACUAAUCAAUCAUGCUCUCAAAAUACUGUAAUUAUUUCAUUUUGGAUUUUUAAUAAUGGCUUUGAGUCUCUUUUUCUGUCUGCUGAACUGAUAAUGAAAAUACAGGAACACACAGGAGAUAAAAACAGAGAAAAAGAAAGUGAAAAAGCAAAAAAUACUCUCACUAAGAAAAAACCCUAUCUGCACGAAGUGAAAACUGUGUGCUUUAUGUUUAUAGGAGCAGAACGUUUACAGAGUAACAUUUAAUCAUCACAGACCUGCCAAUAGCUUUAACUCCAUGCCAUGUCAAAUUCAAAGCAUAUUGCACAUCCCAGCGUAAAAGAGAAAGGAAAGUCCAACAUGGUGUCUCUGUCACAAAAGAGAGUCUUUGUCUUUCUGCACCAGCUGCCUCCUCUCUUUGUGCCCUAAAAAUUGAAGUUUGCUUCCAUUUUGCUGACCUUCUGAGUAUUGUUACAAAGAAUAAAAGCAGCUUUGUUGAAGGACACACUUGAGUCUCCUAUAAGAAAAUCAUUUUAACAGGUAAAAAAAAUUGUUGCACUUGGUAACAAUUUGAACAAAGUGCUACAUCUGGGUGGGCAGACGCUUAAAACAGAAAGGUUUUGUGGUAUACUGGGGACAAUUUCCUCUGCACUUACAUACAGGAAAAUGUCUCCAGGGGGGCGUCAGUCAAAGUUCUUAGUCAUCUGGGUCAUGCUAAUUCAAAACUUGAGCCUAAGGAUGACAGGACUUUGUUAAAUGUCUUGAAGGUGUUUAAUUUCUUUUCUAAAGACGUCAUUAUUUUUAAACUGGUCGUGGACUGACUAUGGCAUUUAAAAAAAAAAAAACAUGAUAGAUAAUAAUAAUAAUGAAAUAAAAAAUAAAAAUUUUGAGAUAAGUUAUUGAUAAAAUUUGGAUCUAAUAAUCAUAACUUAAUACUUAAUUAUAACCAGAAAUAUUGACUGCACCAUAGUUGUGCCCUCUCAGAGGGGUUUGCUUUUUAUUGAGGGUAACUUAAACAGUUUUACAAAUCCCUCCACACACACUUCUUAAAAACCACAAUCAAGACAAGUCAGUCUCAUUUCUAUACUAUAGUGCUAAAUACUUUUUUUUUUGGAACACUUUUCAUGUAUAACUAACUACUCUUUAGAAUAGUUAAGCCUCCUCCGGUGUAAGGGUCUGCACCGACCCGUUUUUGUUUUUCAAUGCUUAAAAGAACCACUUUUUUACAUCAAGACUUUUUGACUUUGUCAGGAACCCCUAUUUCAACAAAAUAAAAACAAUAAAAUUAAAUUGGCUAAAUUCUAAAAUGCUUUUACUAAAAUUAUGGCACUUGUCGUGUUAGGGUCGCUGUUGACCCGGUUAGAUCAAUAUCUAAUAAUCAGAGCAAAAACUGAAAUCAUAUGUGCACUGUCAGGCACCAUACCGACAGUCAGAUCCUUUACGGAUCAUGUGAGAGUUAGGGAAUUCUAGUUUUGCCUUGUUUUUCCUGCACAAAAAACAAUGUCGGGCAUGUCCAGACAUGUGAGAUACUUACAAAGAAAGGCCCAGAGGCCCAGAAGCCUAACAAGGUAACCUAGAGAUGAGAACCAAAUUGGAGAUAGAGAAAUGUUUUUAGUGUAAUUUACAGCUGAUUUAAGACACGGGUCAAAACCGACCCUCAACAUGGUGGGUGCGUAGUAAAAGCUGACACAGGAAGAAGGUUAAAAUAACUUAAUGUUAUGUGCUGGCUACAGAGUUUUGAGCAGAUACUUAUGCUUCAGAGAUGCUCGCUCUCAUUCUCACUUGAAGCAGCAAAUUGGUUGAGGGGCUCUUGCUUCUAUGCUGACGGGCAGCAUCAGUUUGCAGCACCUCAGCAGCACGUUUUCUUGUAAUGUAGAUGUUUUGUCUUUUUUUUCUUAUCUUUAUUUAUGUGUAGAUCCUUUCGUCCCAUGCAUGCUUUUGUUUUUGGACUUUCACAGCUCUGGUACCAAAUAUCAUUCAGGCAGUUGCUAAUCAUUUAGCCUUGCUGGCUUCCAUCAUACUGUUCAGGAAGUCUCCAAGUGACAUUGGUAUGAUCCACAGUCCUGCCAACUCCUUAAAGUAGUGAUUAACUCAAAGAUUUUCUACUAAGGAGAGGUCAUCAGGAAUAAACCUGACAUAGUGUGACUAGUCUUUCCACAUGUGUUUAAUUUAAGUCUAGGUUGUUGCAAUGCUAUCAGCUGAAAUCCUUCCUCUGCUGCCUUGUAUUCAUCACUUCACCCAAAAUGCAUUUCAGUCAGAGUCUGAAGCAAUGAAACCACAUUUAUAACCUAUAGAUUAAUUUCAAUGAGCAUGUUAUUCUUUUUACUUUUGAAACAAUUUCAUUUCUAUGAGCUAAAUGAUUUUUUAAACAAAAAGUGACCACAUAGAGGGGCUUUAGGUGGUCAAAAUGGGUUUAUUUUGCAUCCUGCUCUGCCUGAUUGACUUCUCUCCGGCUUGCACACUCUGGCAGCUGUGGAAGCUGCUUCUUUAACAAACAUUGCUGUGCAAACUUUGAUUUUCUGGCUGAUCAGGAGGCAGCGAACAGUAAAGCCAGGCAGUAAUCUUCAAAAUGCCCAUUUGGAAAUCCAUGUGUGAGAAGUUCACUGCUUUUUUUUUUGCAGAGAUUUUCACAUGCAACACCAGAGAUCACAUUUGCAUUUCUCAAGAUAAGUUUAAUCCAAGAUGACUCUGGUAACUUUGGGAACACUGCAGUUACAUGCUCACUAAAAUAUACCAAAACAUUACUCACAACAGUUUUAAUUUAAGACCUUUCAAUAAAUUAAAUAAUUUUUAGUUUGAGGGGAUAAAUCUUUAUUUUUUCCAGCUCAGCCUUUUACUGAAAAGUUGGCUGGAAAACCCACUCUGAAGCCAGGCCAUCAGCUGCAGACUGGGUCAAUUUGACCACAUCAUUUAGCUCAUUUUAAAAGAGUCCAACCCAAAUAUUAAAGUCAAUGGACGCGUACACUCUAUUUGGACAUUUUUCAGUGCUUUAAUUGUGGUGCUGAAAAGCUAUGAUCAGCCAGUUCGGUCUCCAGGAGAACUAAAAUCACAACCAAAAUUGAAAAACGAGUGAUUCUGACUGUGAUGAUGACCUGCUGCUCAAUAUAGAACGGAAAAUGUCUUACUCAUCCCAGAACAGUGAACAUUAAUGUUCGAGUCAGGUAUUUUUUCAGUGAACUAACUAAGACAGAGUCGACCCUGUCUACAGUGGUUGAUGGUCUAGCUUUUUAAAACAAUGGGACCAAGCUUACAGACAUCCCCUGUGGGUAAACUCUUGCUAGUCUGAUGUGACCCCAGCUGAAAAAAAAAAAAACUAUACCUUCAAAAGCUUUCUUUUCGAGUUUUCUGUGGACUUCAUCCUAAACUUUAUAAGAUGUCUAUAAGAAGAUUUAACGCUUGUAAAGAUAAAGUAGUUUGUUAGUUAUCAAUGUAUCGUGAGACAGAGGGCGUUUAAUGCCGCAUUCCAGUUGUACUCGGAAGUCUGGAUUUCCGAGCUCCGAGUCGGAAAUUCAUCUGGAACGCCCCCCUAAUGUCGGAUUUCUGACUUGGAAAGUCGGACAAUCCUCGCCAACCCCAACUUGACGACAACGUCAUAAUUCAACAUGGCAGCACAGUGCAUCAACAGUAAAGAGUAACAGUAAAAGCUCUCCUAAUUUAUUCUUUAUUAGCACUUCUAUUUUGUUUUUGUGAAAUUAAAUAAGUGGUAUAUGUCACGCUGCCCAACAUCUAACUGUGAACAUGGUGCUAUGGUGUUUGUAAGAGUAAAAUACUAUGUUGUGCGUUGUUUACAACUGGUAUCGCUAAAAACAACUAACAACCACUGACAACAGCCAAUGACAGCUAACAACAGCUAACAACGGGUAGCUGUAGGCGUCCGACUUGUUAACUGGAUCCCAGCUCCAUCAUCUGACUUCUGAGGUAACUGGAAUAUAGCAUAAGUCAUUCUUCAGUCUCGUAAUUAGAUAUCAAACAGUCGUCAUGGAUACAAGAAAAACACCACAGCAGUAUCUUUGAUUUGGCCCCAAACUUUGUGUAUUUUUACCUUUAGUGCAGUUCUACCUUCAGUUUUUGGCCUUAAGGCUUUUGACACACUUUUGCAGAGAUAUUGAAAUCUGUGUCACUCAGCCCUUCUUUCUAAUCCAGCACAAUGGUCGAACAGUUCGCCUCCAGAUAACAUGAAAGAGAAGAGAAGAGAAAAAACGCUUUGAACUCAAAUCAAUUUGAGCACAAUUUUGAUUUUUUAAUGAAAAAUUCUAUGUGUAGUCCUAUUUAUAGCUCAAGAAAUGAGGCUGAACAGUCCUACAAGCUGAGAAACAUGCUGUGGGACUGAUCUAUCUUUAGUUAGAAAACUGUAUUUGGCUUCCAAGGUUUCUUGGUGAAGCGCAGCAUACAGGGACAUCAUUAGUAUGUCGACUGCAUGGUUUCCAGGAAUGAGCAUUUAACUGUAAGUUGUGAAUUUUAAACAACUGCUUCUUUUAAUAUGCAGUUCUGCUUUUUAAAUGUUGAGUAUUUCAAGCUCUGCCACAUAAAGAAGAGCAUCACAAAGCACACAGGCAACAAAAGUUCAUAUUAUUACUGUAGUAAAAGGAAAACAGAAUACAAGUGUCCUGCUUUAAUGUAUUAAUUAUAAUUAUGAAAAUGCUUUAUAUAAUUGAAACAUGAUAUCUGGUUUUGACAAAAAGUAAUCAAAUUCAUCAAGUAAAAGGUGCAACACAUAGAUUGUAUAUAGAAUGGACGCCGUCUGCCUCCUCGCUGGGUGAAGCCACCCGGAAAACAGCACCUUUUGGUGACAGGCUGCAGUGUAGAUCAUAAAUCCCGCCUCUUCCAGCAAUCCAUAUGGAGCUGUGGACAAACUUUAGAAAUCUAUUACACAGAAUAUAAAUUUUUCUCCCCCUUGGUUGCGAUGUUGACAUGUAGUUACUGUCAGACUGGUUUGUGCUCAAGUCCUCUUUUUUCUGUACAGCGCCAUUUUUUAAAGUUAUUAGGGGGUUCAUGUUUUCUAUGAUUGACACUUGAUACAGCCUAUGUUGCUACAUUGCCCACCCAGUGAUACGCUGUUUAAGCUGAGCGUCAUCACAGCAACUCUCUGUGACUCUCCUGCCGAGUGCGUACAAUACUACUGCGCAAUGUUGGUUUCAGGAAAUGGAGAAAAAUCGCAGAAUUACCGAGAGCUUUUUUGGCUUCAAAUCUGUAUACUGGCAGAAGAUGGAACCAAGUUGUCCAUGGUAUACAGUCUAUGGUGAUACUAUAAAGUGAAACCCACAUAUAAAGCCUUUGUGCAAAGUAUGAAAACCCAAAUCCUACCCUUUUUAAACAGCCUAAUUUCAAAUUUCAUGUCAAAUGUCAAUUUAUUUCAUAACACUUAACAUAAGAACUAUUCACACCACAGGUUCUGUUACAUUAUCUCAUUUUAAGAGAAAAAAAAGGGGCUUAGACUGCUUGAGAUGAAUAAAACAAAUAGCUGCCAACACAGAAAGUAAAAAUAUUUAAAGUUUGUUUAAAAUUACUCACUGCACUAGCAACUAUUUUGACUUAAUACAAAAAAAUCAGUCUUCAAUUUCUUGAAGUUAGAGGUCAAUACUGAAUGGUGAAUGUUUAAGUGUAAAGAGAUAUUUUUACUGGAAAUUGAAGAAAUCCACCCGGUAAGAAUUCAGAUUUUUGCCUUGUAAGUUUUGGAUGUGUUUUGACAGCCUUCCUAAUCCUCUGUUAGUGCCAUUUUUCUCUCCUUUAUUAAUGUAGCAACUUUCUAAUGACAUAAGUAAGAUCCUCUGCAGUCUUUUUGUCUUCAGUUUAAUUAGAAUCCCUCUCUCCACAGUCUUUCGCCUCACCAUUGAUCAUGAACCGUCAGCUAAUGAGAUAAGCUUAAUCAAGCAUCCCAUUUCACUUAGAAACCACUGAAAUGUUGAGAUCAAUCACCAGGAGUUUUCAUCUGUUAAAAUAAGUAUUUCUCUGUCUGUCUUUUUUGAAGAGGUAGCUGUUCUCUUAGCAGACGCCUAAGAGUCACAAAAAUGAUUUAACACAAACAAGCCUGUUCUGUGUAUUUCUGGAGCACAGACAUAAUUUUAGAGGAAACUGAUCAGCUAAUUUAUGGCUCUGAUAUGUUUCAAAACGCAGUGACUCAGAGGACAACAUGUUGUGAGUGGGCUGAUUUGAUCGGUGACACACCUCCUCCCGCUAAAUGUGUCUACAACAUACAGAGAGGUACAGAAAAUGAGACAGUAAUGUAAAGAAAUGCAGAGUUGUUGAUGUUUUGUAUCUUCUUACUGAGGAUGGAGAACUUUUUAGCUGGUCAUCUGUUUCCUCAAAAACAUUGACCCCUAGGGCUCUAUUUUCGUGCGCGCCGGUGAGGCGGCGGAGGGCGGCGAGCCCCGCGCAGUUGUGUUUUCGUCUGGCGGAGCCCAGCGCAAGGCCAGUUUGGUAUUUUCGUGGCAUGAGCCGCACGGAGGCGAGGCCGAGAUCCGCCAAGCUGGGCGUGGUGGCGUGGCAGGGGGAGGUGUCGACAGAAUCAGCUGGCGCAGUGACAUUUUCGUGCUCGCCAACAGCGUGUAAAGUGCGCUGAAAGCUCGCCGAUUCAAACCUGGUCAGCUUUCAGCGCAAGGCGGAACGCAGCUGGUCUUGUAGUAUUUUGGUAGACCGGCGGCGUAUCGACAUACGUCACUGAUGCCUCACCGGCAGGUUUCCACAGUGUCAGGCACAUUUCAGUGCAAUAAAUAAUCAUCAUCAACUAUUAAUCUGAGUCAGCAUAUAUAUUUAGAUCUAUAUCGAUAUAUUCUGAUCUAUAUCUGAUCUGAUGAGCGCGUUUGGCACGCGUUUGGACACACAACCUGACCGAAUCAACACAGCUGAAACCGCAUCAAAUUAAAUUAAAUAUCUAGUAAAUAUACACACAUGAUGAAGUUAAUAAGAUAUGUAAUUCGUCUCCCUCCUUUUCUUUCUUCCUCUUCCUCUUAUUUCUCGCACAGCUCGACCUGGACACGUCUCCGUGCCCUCUGUCCGUCUUGCUGCUGCGGCAGCUGAACAGAUGAUUUGUUUCAGUGCUCAGAUGCGUUAUCUACUUUAAGCCGACAUACGGAUAUUAUAAUAUUCAGUUUUGUGAGCCAAAUUUAUUUUAUAUGCCAACAUCUAUGAAAGAAAGAGCCGGAGCGCGAUGCGUCAUUUACGCACAGAUGGUUCCGAUUUUAAUGCCAUUUUUGGAGUUUAUGUUGUGAUCUGUGCGCUCAACCCACCUUUGUCACGUGAGGUUUGAAUAUGAGCAACUUUAUGUGAGUGUCUUUAUUUGUGGAAACGGGUGUUUGUCUUACCAGUGGGUCCAACAUUACGCACACUAAAUCCAUCUGUGCUCAUAUGAGAGAGUGUGGAGGACACUUGUUGAGGAGCUGCCCUCUGUCGCCAUCUUGUGGCAUUACUGUCUUAAGACAUCUCUUGAUCUCUUUGACUACUCGAUGAAAAUAGUAAUACGCCUCGCCUGUGGCGGAUUUAAAGGCAAGGAGAGGAGCCUAUGUGAUUGGUGAAAACAGGUCUCGGCUGUGUUAAACCAACUACACGCCCUUUCUCCUCCCCGUCUACGACUUAUGGUGCUGGGAGGAGCUGAGUUAGGGAGGGGGGAUACUUACGCCGGGCUGCGCGGCUCACCAAAAUACCAAAAUGUGCUUGGGAACGCCUUGUCAGCGCAGCGGAUCUGACUGACGCUGCGCUUGUGGCACGUCUCCGGCGAGGCACCAAAAUAGAGCCCCUAGAGUUUAACUGCCUGUGCCAGAGUGUUAUUACAAUUUAACCCUAAAAAAGCCAAUUGAUAAGAGUCGACGCAAAAAUUUUACUCUCAGUAGAUUUUGAAGUUGCUGAAGCUUUUGUCAUUUCUGAUAGUCCAGUGCUAAUGUUCCUCUUCCUUCUGGGAUCGAGGUGACACUUAGAGCCACAGAGCCACUCAGUGUCUGGAUUACAACUGAUCCCCAGGUUGAGGAUGCAGUUAUGUCGCAUUCACUCCAAGCUUGGGUAAAAUCAUUUGUGCAAGGGAAUUACAUGCCAACGCAAAGACAGGCUCAGACACGCGGUCAACUCGGGCAGCAGGUGAGACGUGAAUUGCGCAGUGCGUACGUAUAGUGCACAUUGUGCAGACUAUUUGCAUGAAUUGAGCAGAUCAUACGCAUCAUACUAUGCAUUAGCCUAAAAUUGUCGAGUGUAUAACUUGCUGAGUGUCAUGUUAAAGCUUACACCAACAGCUCUGUAAAAAUUGUCAAGUACAAAAGAAAAACCUUCUCCUGCUUAGAUUAAAUGUGUAUUUUUGAUCGGUGCAUCUUUUGGCCUUUGGAUUUUCCCUUUAGAAACUGUAGUACAGAUGAAAACAACAAAAUCUUUGUUUAUUUGAUUUUUCCAUUUUGGAAAACAACAUAAAUGAAAUUGAAAAACAGGGUGUUUUUCUUUUUCAAGAUCAGAAAAGGAUCAGGAAAAUUUAAAAAUCAAUUUGAUUCUCAUUUUCUCUUUUGUGUUCACAAAAUAAAAAGUGGGCAUUUUUUUUUUCUUUCUAAGACUGGAUGUGAUUAUAGGAAAGAGCAGAAUGAAAAGACUCAAGAAGCACUUCCCAGAAAGGGCGAAAGUGCUGGUAGUCCCCCUUCUAAGCAGACCUUAGCUGCCAAUUGGCCUGUCUGCAUUGGAGCUCUGGAUCAAUGUGUACCUAAGCCUCCUGUCAAUGCCAGUAGAUGCAUGUUGAAGAGACGGUGAAACACUUCCACCCCAUAAAGCAGGAACAUCAUCAUCAACUCUGUCUCAUUUGCACAAAACCUGACAGCAAUCAACACCCUCAAGACAGGUCUGAUGCAUGCUGGGGUUGAGGGAAGAGCUCUUAAAGGAUUCAAACAAGACUCGCUUGCCAAAUGUAAACCCUUAAAUUAGCUCACAGUCAAAGUAGUGUCCAAUCACAGGUUACUCUCUUAACACCCUUUCAUUUUUCAUAAUGUGACCCAAACACACUAUCCGACUUUUUAUUUCAGUUCCACUUUUAUUAACCUCCUUAACCUCUGAUCUGGUAACUCUGCACAACUUAAAGUCGUUGAGAAUUCUGGACCCUAAACUCUGAUGUAAGUUUACACUCUGACUUAUGCCCAGGUGGUACAACCACCUCGAGGCUGGCCAAUCAGAUUUUGAUAGUGAGCCAUGCCACCUCAGCAACGCCCCAUGGACACACCCCUGGUUCUGAAUAUUGCUGUGUUCCAGUAACCUUGGAAAUCGGAUGUCGGAGCUGGGAAUGACCUUACACCCGAGUUGACUGCGUCCCGGUUAACAAGUCAGUAACCAAGAUGGACGCCUACGGUUAACCAUUGUUAGCUGUUGUUUACAAUUGUCAGUUGUUGUUAGCGGUUGUCAGUUGUUGUUAGCGGUUGUCAGUUGUUGUUAGCCAUUGUCAGCGGUUGUUAGUUGUUAGCGAUACCAGUUGUGAACAACAAACAACACAGUCCUUUACUCUUACAAACACCAUAGCACCGUGUUCACAGUUAGACGUUUGGCAGUACAAUGUAUGCCACUUUUUUAAUUUCACAAAAACAAAACAGAAGUGCUAAUAAACAAUAAAUUACGAGAGCUUUACUCUUUACUGUUGAUGCACUACACUGCCAUCUUGAAUUAUGACAUUGUCGUCAAAUCGGGGUUGGUGAGGAUCGUUCGACUUUCCAAGUCAGAAAUCCGACUUCAGGGGGACGUUCAAGAUGAAUUUCUGACUCGGAGGUCGGAAAUUCAGACUUCUGAGUACAACUGGACCGCAGCACAAGUCUCUCCUGUACAUCUCCUUCAACUUCCUACUUUGACCAAGACACACAAGGAUAAACAUUUGUUUUGGAAUUUUGAGGCUGUACAUUCAUGGUUUUAGAUUUUAUUCUUCAUCUUGACAUGAAAAAAAAAUUGAGAUAACACAUCACUGCGCCAUCUUUGACACUUCCUCUUGCAGUAGCUCAUAUUUAAGAUGUCACCUUGCUGAUAAGAGACGGGUGUGAGUGUCCCACCUGCUGUCCACAAAGUUGACUUAUCCAGUCAAGCAGACAGUAAGCUGACUGUGAUAGAUCAUCAGUUCAUGCAGUUCACAUGGACUUACUGGUUAUAAAAGGAAACCCAUGUGCUGAAUCCUGCCUCCGACACCUCCGCAGAUCAUCACUCACACAUCCAUGCUAAUCUCACAUCAUACUGUUCACUCUCUGACAAGUGAAAUGUGAAUAAAUUACAUCUAUUUGUGUAAAUGCCCAAGGACUGACAUCUUUCUUGUUUGUGAUGCUUUAUCAUCCAAAAAGGAUUUUCACUUUGUCAGGAGUGUAAAAAAAUGCACACCAACAAUGCUCAACAGUUACAGUUUUGUAAGAAGUAUGAAUGAGUGUUCCUGCUACUCGAAGAAAUAAGACGCAAUGUCAUCUGAAAAGUUUCAAGCUGUAAUUUGUACAAGUAAGAGAAGAAAAAUCUGAGGUUUUGUUCUAGACAUGUGGUGCAUGAAAAGUCCUGAUUUUGGGAACAACAGAAGCAGUCUUGUCCCAGCAGAUCUGAGAUGCAGAAGUAGGCUGUCUUAACUCCAUUGUAUCAAAGUUGAAUGAUAAAGUCAUUACUCGAUAUACCCAAAGACCUCAGAUAAGUUUUUGAACCAUAGAGAGGGGCGUUUCAGCUCCAGCGAUUUAUAAUAAUAAGAUGGUGGAGAAUAGUCUAGCCUGAGCAUCUCUGGUAGUAAAGUUUUGUCACACUUCUAUUUAACUGUCACAAAAUGAUAAAACUGUUUGACUGUCUGAUUUCAGAGAUGUCUUUCCCACAUAGUGUGCCCACUGGAAAUCGAGGACCUGACCGCCUCACUUUUUACAGCACAGAUGCUUCAAAUCAGUUGCCACAUGCAGGUCCUCUAUCUCUGAUCAAAACGUUGUUUCUUCAAAAGGCUCACAGUGCCUGUGUGAUCAGGCCCUCAUCCAACUUUUGUUGGCAUUAGCCCAACAUCUGUUAUUUCCUGGUGCUUCAUUAUUCUGUGAGUUCAAGUUAGAUGAUCAAAAAAAUCAGGUUUGACUAUAUAAAGGCAGAGCUAUCAGUUUUCAAGAAUUUACUUCAUAUUAGGUACGUUUAUUUAUACAGCACAUGUCAGCAACAAGGCAAUCUGAAUUAUCACAGAAGUCUGAAAAUCACUGAAAGCUUACAUAAAACAUAUCAGAGUGGCCUUAACUUCAUUUUUCCUAAGGUCAUAUUCAUGUGUUUUAUUCUGUUAAUAAUAAAACCUGGGGGGGACAGAGCCUUCUCAGUCGCCGCCCCCACCCUCUGGAACUCACUCCCACUUGAACUCAAAAACUGCACUGACCUCAACAGAUUCAAAACCCUUCUCAAAACCCACCUCUUCCACACUGCCUUUCAUCCCUCCUAACCCCCCCCCCCCCCAUUAGAUUUUACCUGAUUGUACAUGUUUUUAUUGACAUUGUUGUAAAUUUUAUUACUCAUUUAUGUGUGUUUUAUUGUUAUUUGAUUUUACCUGAUUACAUGUUUUUGAUUAUAUUGCUGUAAAUUUUCUUACUUAUUGAUGUAUGUUUUUACUGCUUACUCUGUACAGCGUCUUUGUGUCUUUGAAAAGCGCUUUACAAAUAAAAUGUAUUAUUAUUAUUAUUAUUAAUAAGACACAUAAUUUGAUGAUUUUAUUAGGCUUUGUUAAAAUAAAUAGGUACAUAACAAUGUUGAUUUGUCACUAUUUAAUGAUUACUUAAGGUAACCUGUUCAGUGUAAACCAUACACUUACUAUUGAUGCUCAGUAGACCUGGACAUCUGAGACUUAUUACUCAAUUGGAUGCAGAUCCACAAACUGUUCUUGUCUUCUCUGAAAUGAAUUUUGAAAUUAAUUGACUUCAGAACAUCAUGACAAUGUUAGCUAACACAUUCUCAGAAAACAGAACUUAUUGCUCUCAUGAAGGUACACUCAUAAAGCAGUGUGAGAGCAGUGAGUCGGGCUCAGGUCCUCCCAGCUCUACUAGUUCAUGUCCAUGUAUUAAAUAAUAUAAUAUAUAUGAAUCACAUUAUAGAGAAGUAUUAAAAGAUUCAUAUAAGUAAACUAACAAAAAUAUGGUUUUAUACUAAAUAUACUUGAUUGCAUAGAAGUAAUAUUAAUUCUGAAUAGUAUAACACUGAUUAUUGUUAUAAUAUGCAAACAAUUAUAAGUAACAUAUGUAGUGUUGAGCAGGUAUCUUUGUGUAUUAUAUGUAGGUAUUUAUACAGAUCUUUGUAAUUUAUACAAUUAGAUUUUUCUUCCCCUCUCAAUAUUGGCUCUUAUUUGCAAGAAAGAGACAGGACUAGUUAAGCUCUUUACUUCAUUCUGUUCCUUCUCAAACUGUUUGUUUUUGACAUGCAUAUGUUGUGUAAAUUUAUCUUUGACAUGUACAGUUGUUUGGUGUACAUAUGUAUUAUUUUGUUCGGUGUUUUUGUUUCUAGUUGAGUUUUUUUUGUUGUUGUUGUUCUUAAAGUCUGAGAUAAACAAAAAAGAAUGAAAGAAAUGUACGAGGAAACGAGGGAGUUCAUCAUAAACGUUCAUACAAUGUGUGAGCACUUUGAAUGAGUGUUAGCCUUCCUGUAGACGUGGUGUUAAUAAUUGAUGUUUGUGCACUUCCUGGCCCACUUGUCUCAAAAUAACUUAAAAAUAACAAUCUAAUGGUCUAAAGUGAAUUAGUCCUUCCUCUUUGUUUAAUCCAGACCGACAUCUGUAAUUCUCUGGCUGACUUUCGUGAGGACACCCUCACCUACACAAAACAGAAGCAGGCAGUAAGUUUCCCCGAAUCCUAUAGAAAGUGAUUCUUCUCACAAUGUCUUAAAAGGCUAAUGUGUUAAUUCAUUUCAAGUCAAAUAGAGCAGCAGUUUCUUGUUUCUUCCAAACACAUACUGUGUACAAUGCUGGAGAUUUCUUGAAUAAGAGAGAUCCUGGAUUUUGUGGGUCCAUCUAAAAUAAUUUUGGAUAAAUCUAGUUCAGAAGGCUCAUUGGGUUACCUGAAUCACUGCCCAGAGGACAUUACUAAGGAGAUUCUUGUGUGUGCAUGUGCAUUAGUGUGCAUGCAUGUGCGUGUGCGUUCACCUUUGAAAGAUACAGGGGCUCUGCAGAUCACCAGACACAGCUAGGAUGCACACAGAAUGUAGGUAAGCAUUUAUAGUAGGGAGCAGGACUGUCUCUCUGGGACAAUUCACUGGGGAGAAUUUUUCUGUAUAUGUGUGUAACCCAAAGACUUGUACCUUAGAGGCUUUGUGUGUCUGCUACUCAGGAGUCCUGGGAGAGAACAUGUGCAAGAGUUUCCAGGGCCUGUAGAGUAAGUUAGCUGUCAUCAAUAAAUAGCUGCCUGUGUGGUACUAUGGGCCACUGGGUGGGCAGAAAUAACGAGGACCAAGGACAGAGCCAGAUGGAGCCUCGCUUCACACACACUGCCUCUGCUCCACUUCCUUAGGGACAGCAUUUUGGAAAGAGGGAAAAAAAAAUCUUGGGUCAGUUUUCUGUCAGUUGUGUUUUCUGCCAAAAAUAGAGGUGUCUUUAUUAGUGUAAGAGAAAUGCUGAUGUGGAAAUGCUGCAGGAGGAUGAAAACAUGCGCAUGCAGGAGUCAGCAUAUGGAAACAGUCUGGAGCCCUGUAGGAUCAGCAUUAUUCUCACCUCGGGAGAUAAAAUUACAGUGCAGUUGGUGAUGAAAUAAACUAAUAUAGCAAAUCAUAAAUGCAUAAAUAGAAAGGCCUAAAUGGUCCGGAUGUUGUAGUAUAAUAUUGCCUUUGUGCUGCCUGAACUGGAAGACAUUAUCUAAUGAAAUGAUGGCAAUUUGACAGAGAGAUCUUACAUAACUGAUGAUGACUACACUGGAUUUUUGGAUACUAAGAGAACAUCUUUACGCACAUGUUGGAAUUUGUGAGCUUGCGUGUUUGUUUUUAUGUCUGGAGCGCUGACAUUUGUGUUUGCAGAACAAAUGGUUUAGUGAAGUGUACAAGCACAGCCAGCUGUAUUUGCAUGCUGUAACCCCUCCAAUCUGGUAUCACCAGAGCACAUUGUCUGAGUCACCCAAGUGUGUGUUUACAUGUGUGUGUGACUUAAGCUUGAACUCAUUUUAAAUCGAAGGGAAUUGCAUUUAAAAAAAAAACAACAACAACAAAAGUGCCGUGUUUCUAUGAGCUCUCUUUUAAAAUUUUGUACGACGGCCACGCAGCAGUCAUAGAGCAUGAAGUGAAUGUGGGGAAGCUGGAUGUGGUUAUUGGAUGCUGUAAUAUGUUGCCUGUAGUGAGGGCAAAUAUUACAUCAGGCUCACACAACAAAGACGGUUAGUGGGAGCAACUAUUUUUACUCAGAAAGGAACUUUUUUUUUUACAGUCCUAGGCAGAGCAAGGAAUUCAUUUCUAUCUUUGUAGCAGACUUGUGCUUUGAAAUACAUGCCUCAAACCACCGAGUGUCCUGUCUGAGGCAGCUUAAAUCAUUCAAGCACAUAAUGUAAUAAAAAAAAUGAAAUUAUAUGAAAUUCUCACACAUAAUCUGUUGUUUCGUACCUGAAGUCUAAAUCAGUGACUCCUGAAAUCCAAGGGCACAUCAAAUAGGUAAACAAACAGGCAGCACAACAGCUUAGCCAACAUCUGUUCACAUGUCCCUGCAGAGGUGAUAAAUCAGGGAGUUUUCAAGGUAUGAAAGAAAAAUUAGAGCUCACGAGAGAUAGAACACAAAUCAUCCAAGAAAGCUGUUGUCAGAUUUGAAACAUUAUUAAAACAGAAAACCCGAAACAAAUAUGCUGAGAAGGUGAUUCUGUGCACAAACGUGAGUAACCUCUUUUUCUGCUACUUGGGGCAGCAAACACACAACCACCAAACAACAACAACACAUACAACCAUGCAGCAACCCCCGCUAUAAAAGAACAAAGCAGGGUUGAAGUUUUUUCUUUAGUCUUAGUCUUUGGCCUAAGAUACCUUUAAGUUUUUGGCACAUUUGAUUUGUUUCGUCUAGUUUUAUUUUUUUUAAAUUUUUUUUUAAGCGUCUUGUGAUAACAACUGUUGUGAAUUAAUGCCAUGUAAAUAAAAUUUGAUUGAUUGAAUUUGAUAUUUUAGUCUUUACUUUUAAUCGACACUCUAAACUAAUUCAAUAAAUCAUUCAAUCAGGAAUUAGAGUCAAGGUUGUUCUAGUUUAUCACUGAGAAUGAGGAAAAAGUAUAAAAGCAGAGAGAUUUGAACCAACGAUGCACUUUUUGCAGGCAUGACAUUUAUUAAAACUGCACCCCUGCAGGCUAACUCAGCCUGUUACAGGGAUGCUAAUGUAACAGGUGACGAUGCAUAUCUGAGAAAAAUAUGACAGAUAUGAUGGAUUUCAAAUGUCACUGCGUCACUGUCUCAUUAACAAAAACAAAAUUAUAGUUAUCUGUGAUUUAUUUCAGCUCAUGUUUGUCAUGGAAACAAGAAUUGUUGAUGAACGUUUAUCAUCAUGGUGCAGAGGUAGAAAAACUGCAGUUCCACAAAUGACCACUUGAGGCAGCUCCAAAAUUCCAGCAAGGCCCAUUAACACUUAUAACACACCAGUAUUAUGUUAACUGGAUAUGAUAACUGGAUAAUUGGAUUCAAAUAGCCUCCUCAGCCACUUCAGAAUAUAAUGAACGCCUCAAAGAGACUGUCCAUGUUUUGUAGAUUAGGACAAUCUAUGUAUAUAACCAGCUAUCAAGCCAACUCUCACCUUUUUAGAGCUGCUUUUAAUAGCUGACGUUGCAGUUUUGGACCAUUAUUUUAAUGUAUUGCUCCAUCUUAUAUUUCUAUUAAAUCCUUUCACUGUGUACCUUGUCAAGGAUUUUAGUAUUUUGAAAAGUGCCGUGUAAAUAAAGUGUAUUAUGAUGAUGAUGGCAAUCUCAUCCUAUAACUCUUAUGAGCUCAAGGGUUUACUGGUGGCAGGGAAUAUAAUUCUCGUACUUUAACCUUCAUCCAGAGAGACAGACUUGAAACAGUCAAGACAGAGUUUUACAACCUCUUCACACCAAACUGUUGAGAUAACAGGAGCCUGAAAGAGUAUUAUACAAGGCUUGAAUCAGAUAUUCAGAGUUAGCCAACACUUAAAAAUCUUCCAUUUUGAUAUAACUCCAUGUUAAAAAAGACAACUUCUCCGUCAUCUUAUUUGAUUGGAUCUAAUUCUGAAAGAUUGAGAGUCAAGAAGAACCUGGGAGUCUUUUAUUGAGACCAAAACGAGGAGAUGUUGAAACAACUUCAUCAGAGCAGAACAUAGAAAAAGUCUCAGCAUAAGGAGAAGAAGAGAAGUUUUUUUUCUAAACUGACAGGGAUGGAGGAAGUGAUGAGUCUCAGAGAGCUGCCAAAGAAGAAUAGAUCUUCACAGGGGGAUGAGGAGGGGGGGUGACAGGGUGACAUGGGUGGGUGUCGCACCCUCCUCCCUUUCUAUAGGUCUUACAGGGAUGAAAGCGUCAGCGGAGAAGACAGUUAUCUAGGAGGCGCAGGAGGAGGGAGAAAAACACUGAGAGAAGAAGACGAAGGAGAAGAAGGAGAAAUUGAAGAGAAGGAGGAUAAGACGAAGAGUAAAAGAGGAGAGCUAGAAGUAGAAAGCAUAAAGAUGAGGUAAGAGUGUGAGGGUGGGAGGAAAGAGGAACAGCAGGAGGUAUAAACACUUCGAAUGUGAAUCAUAGACAUCUGGCAGGAAUGGAGAGGAAAAGGAGGGGGGGAUUGAGAUGUGAGACAUAAGGAGAGGUGACAGAGCUAGAGUGGGUGAGUGAGACAAAAGUAGGCACAAUGAUGGAGGAAAUGAGAAAGGGAACAAGACGCCAAAGUAAGAGAGGAGUGAGGAGCAAGGAAUGGGAGACAAAUGGAGAGUAAUACAUGUAAAUCAGCCUGUUUAUCCUCAUGUCCUUUUUCAUGGCACUCUUAUUUAUUUGGUUAGAGCUUGUAGGGGUGAUCGGCUUCCCUGCCUAGAUCUGUCGGAGUGUGUUUAUGUGAGAGAGAAGGCAGUAGGGAGGGAGGGAGGGAGGAGAGUGAAAUGUGACAAAUCUUGUCAACUCGCUGUCCUCCCACAUAAUCUGCUGACAGCUUUCCCGUCCAGCGAAAAAAAAGUAAGUAAAAGAGAAAGAUUUCCUUUUUCUACAGACAUUAAUGAGCUCUUAGAUGCAGAGCUGAGAGAAGAUUUGGAAAGAAACACUGAGUGACAAAGAGAAUUGAGUUGUUUCUUGAGAGUAGUUUAUACAGAGUAAAGCCAAUUCCUGCAGCUGUCUUGUGUCUAUCAUGAACAACACAGAUGGAUUUUUUUUAAACUUUUGAUUUAAAAUUCUGGCACUUAUGACAUAAAAAAGAGGAUUUCAGUCAUACUUUGACAUCUGUUGAAGAGUCACAUUUAAACCAUUUUUUAUGUUUUUUGUGUCCCCCAAAAGAGCCCACGUGAUAAGGGUUUCCCUGCCAGUUUAUGCUUGGUAGAAAUUAGGCAAAGCUUUAUUAGAUUGGUCAUAAAGUGUAACAAUGUUGAUUGAUCUUCACAGCUAAAACCAUGCCAAGGAUAACCUGAUCACACAUGUCAUUUCAAAUCAAUCUCCUGAAAGGACUUCUGGCACAUUUCACCUCUUGACACUUUGGAAAAAAAUGAAGUACAAUUUCAAACAAGCAUUGUGACAUAACCAUUAGUAUCUGUUUCAGGCUGGUGUUGAGGAAAUAAUGAGGAGCCCAAGGAGGCCAUAAGCAUCUCUGACAGGGACAAGUGGUACAAGACCCUGUCCUGCAAUCCAGGCAACAACAAAGCGGUGAGUGUGUCUCUGAGUUGCUGAUCACAGCCAGGUAACUUAAACCAUCAGUCAGUACGUUUACACGACACUCAAGAAAACCGAAUUAUUGCCUUACUCCGAUUUAGACCGGACAACUGAAGUGCAUGUUAACACCUUAGUAUGGCUUUAAUUGGAGUUUGAGAACUAUGAUUGGAGUCGGAGAACUCUGAUUAAGACACCCAGACAAUGCAAGUGGAAUUAGAUUUUCUCUACCAUAUAACCAGCUUAGUGCGAUUAAGCUGUGCAUGUAAACGCACUGAGUGAUAGUGGCAAAGUGCAGUAAUCAACAGGAGUUUUACUUUAUUACUGCUUUUCUUAAACUUGAAAAUAUUAAAAAAAAAAAAGGGUUUAUUCAAGGGCUGCACAACCCUAAUAUUCAGCCAUCUAAAUUUACUACAGACUGAUGGGUUGUUAUUUAAAAUUUUCAGUUCACUCACUUGGUUGGUAAAUGAUCAAAGAGUAAGCAGGUUGUUUUUAGGGCAACUGCAAGUCUUUUAAAUAUGUAAACGCAGUUCAUGUCACUGCUUCUUCUCAAUAUCAAUAACCUGUUUUUCUUUGAUGUUGCAGAUUCCCUUUUCUCAUCAUCCAAUUCAAGAGGUCUCAGGCAGCUGGAAAGCAUUGUGUCAGACACUGGAUCAAAAUAAGAAAAAUCCCUCUACUAAAAAUUUCUGUUACAAAAACAACUCGUGACAAUGUGAUGGGACUAUCCCAACGCAUGAUCCGCUCACUGUCUGAGCAAAUGGUAUGAGGAACAAAAUUAUCUCACCUCUAGUGGACUGUGAGCUAAGAUUAUUUAUGUAGAGCAUGUUAAUUCCAAAUAUGAGAAUUCAAGUCUCGUGCUUUUUUUAGGCAUCGGGGCAUAAAACCUCUUAGGAAAAAUAUGAGUUAAAGAUUGUAUGUAUGGCAUAAGAUAGUAGCAAUGAGUGUAGAAAACAGGAGAUAUAAAGUGAUCAGGGUCUAAAGUUAAAUGUUUUUUGACAAAAGAGUCAUAGUAUGAACAAAAUAAAGAGUCAGCGUGGGCUGUUUCUCAACUUUCAACCAAAAUAUAAAAUUUUAGGAUUGUUAAAUUAAAUAUUCUACCUUCUUUGUCCAUAUAAUUCAUUCAUCUGGACUGGGGUUUCCUAACUAUUCAUUGAGGCUGUGUUAUGUAUUACCUUGAGUAAAAUAUUCAAACUCUGUGGUA